rnacentral:lncRNA from 1 species
AAGAAGGAGAUGAGAGGAACAUUUUUAAAACGCCAUGUAGAUCGCCUCGUGGUUAUUUUUAUUGUUUUAAAGAUAAUAACCAGAACUGCAGGAGGAUCUCUGUGACUCCCGGUCAGCCUGAGGGACAUAGUGAGACUUUGUUUUAAAGAGGUUAGAACCACGUUGGUUCUUGUAUUUGGAAGGUUUGUUUGAGGGCCUGAAGACUGCUAAGCAGCUAAAAGCACUUGCUGUUCUUCCUGAGGGCUGGACUUCUGUUCCCAACAUCCACAAGGCGGCUCACAGCCACCUGAAAUUUCAGUUCCCCCCUCCUGGCCUCCACCGGCCCUGCACAUGCAUGCGCGCAGGCAUGAGGCAAAACACCCGCACAUACAUACAUACUGGGUUAGCAGCAAACUUAAGCAACUUUUCUCGAAGGAAGAGAGACCUGCCCUGGUCAUUUGAGGAAUAGGAUGGAUGCGGUAUUGUGGACUCUGCUCAGGCUGAGCGGCAGGCAGUUAUUAAAUAAGGUGUGGCACCAGGCCUGUGACCCAGAACUUGAGAAGCUGGAGCAGAAGACAGCUGUGACCUCAAAGACCACCGAGGUUACAUAAUGAACUCAGCCUGGACAAGAGGUCUCUCCUGAAGUUACAUUCAAGAUGGUAUCUAGACUGGGAUCAUGCAAAAGCUUGACAGUGAUGGAAGGACCUGUUUCCAAGCCAUCUGAUUUUUAUACCGCCAUAUUCGUGCUCUUUGCUAACAGAAGACCCAGUUCCCUGACACCUAAAACUCACCAUGGAACAACAUAAGUUUCCUUACAAUACAACAACUGACUUCCCGCAAGUGAGCA